ensembl:lncRNA
CGCGCAUCGCUUCGGUGCGCAGGUGGAUGUCUGCUCACAAUAGCGCGACUGUCUCGCGCCACAGGUAGUAGCUGUAGCUGGACUCAGGUGUUGUAACACGACACUGAACCAUGUGAUCAGCGAUGAGAAUUUAGGAAGAAGAAGAAGAAAAAAAAACAGCUCGAGCAUUCACUCAACACACUAGUAAAUAGGCUACCCACUGCACAAGACCACCAUUGAUCUCGAAGGACAAUGUAUUAUUAUUAUUAUUAUGAGCAUUACGCCGGAGUAUUGCGCUAGUUUCGGUUUAAAUACUUCAUUUCACCGGUAAGGUGAGGCGGAAGCGAGCUACGGUCAGAUCUAUUGGAUAUAAAGUCUACAUAUAUUCGUCGGGAAACAUCGUGGAUUAUGAAGGUGGACACACAGCCUGCUAGAGACAGACAGGACUAUUUUUAUUCUUUGAUCUUGGACAUGAUUUAUUGAUCAGCUCUGCUCCACCCUACCCGGAGCUUCAGCCCCUUCUGGUUGAGGGUAGAGGUGCAGACUGACUCCAUCAAUCCGGAGAUGAUACGGCAGGUUGGGCUGUUGGCAGGGAGUUUUCUGCUGCUGCUUCUCAGGAAUGUUUCGGCCCAGGGAUUGCACUAGGAUGUAGAUGAACUUAAAGCUAACAGGCAUCACAUUUGUGGGAAACAACCACAAUGCCCAGUAACUCAACAACUCCCAACCCAAAGAAGAGACAGACGGAAGGGACGUACCAACCCAGCGCAGAGGAGCAGUCAGGAGUGCGUAGUGUAGAGACGCCUGACGCUCUGAAACUACCCAAGGAGGAGAGACUGAUUUGACACACUGGUUUAUGAAGAACCUACAGCACAUGAUACCAGUGACUCAAUUCCAAAAUGGUUAAAUGGAUAAACAUUAACUAAGGAACGUUUCUGAAGGCACAAGGCACAAACUUAGCCCUGUGUUUUGGCUAAACAAAGCGAGUCUGACUACUUGGAAGAAACUUGAAGGAACAAAUCGUCUCUCGAAAAAAGGCAACAUAUUGAUCUGCACGUGCAUCUCUCUAGCAUUUUAUGCCUUAAACUUUUCUCUGAAUACUUCAUUUUGUGUUGUGUUACCUGUUUUAAUGGUUGCUUUACACAUACAAAUGCUGAUGUUUGUAUGUAGUGUUGAGAUACAUUUAAAGGUGAAGCAUGUAAUUUCUGCACCCCUGGUGUCACAAAACAGAAUUGCAGUUUGUUUGUUUUGCAUUCAGAAUGAGCCAGACUUAAAAGGGAUAGUUCACCCAAAAAUGGAAAUUCUGUCAUCAUUUACUCACCCUUAAGUUGUUGUUCUGUUGAGCAGAAAGAUAUUUUAAAAAUGUUGGUAACUGAACAAGUUGACAGUAGCCACUGACUUCCAUAGUAUGGGGGAAAAAUACUAUGGAAGUCAAUGACUACCGUCAACUUUUUAAUGACAAAAUUUUAAUUUUUGGGUGAACUGUCACUUUAAAUGUCAUCAGCUUAACCAAUGGUGUUAAUUUGGGGGCAGGACUAUUUGUUUGACUGAAUAAUGGAAGCUUGGUUAAAUUAGUCAUUAUUUUUGCAUUUCUGUUUGUUAGCACUAGAUUAUGCACACUACACCUUUAAAUAUUUAUUCAAAUCAGUUUGCUCAUAAUAUAGGAUGUUCAUGCUCUUAUAUAUGUUUGUUGAAACCACUUUUCAAAUUAUUUCAAGAGCCGUAUUUGUCUUGAUUUACCUCAGUAAUGUUCUCAAUCUAUAUAAUUUAAUCUAGUAUUAAUUUUCUAGAAAUUUGUUCAGUGCAACAGUCAAUUCUACUUGGAAUCAUUCUUGAUUCUUUUAUCAUAGCAUGAAUGUUUACAUUCAAAUAUUUCAUGCAUUUUUUUCACUGGAGUGCCUUUUCAAAUUUCAGCUUUUUAGAAUCUGUUAAAUUGUGCCGUUUAUAUUUAAGAUUAAAAGACACAGCCAGAUGCCUUUGCUUUUAUAAAUGGUUAUUCCAUAUUAAAAAUAUUGAAGACACAGG